rnacentral:rRNA from 1 species
GUUAUUGUAGAGGUGCUGCGAGAGGAUCUUUCUAAGUUAGAAGAAUAUUGUUCAGCGCAUGGAUUGGAACUUGAGAAAACAUUAGGUUUUUCUUUCUAGCGAACCGCAGGGUAUGCGGUGAGUCUGAUUCUCCGAAGCUCGAAAGAGCGAAGGAGGAAAACUAGUCCCCCCGAUGUGCGAUUCGCAUAACGGGGAUAAAAAACCUAUCCCGAUUUUGUAUGAAUCCGCCAUAGGCGGAGAGUCUACAAAAUCGAGGACCCGCCAAAGCCGUGAGGCGACGGCGGGGCUAUAUUCGGGAAAACCCUACUUUGUGAAAACGAAGGGGCAACCCGCAGGGAAGUCCGAUGCAACAGCGGACCCCUCAGAGACUAUACGCUGGGCCCGAAAUAAAACUCGGCGGCGAGUGAGUUACUCGCUCGCCCAAAUUUUUCUUUCGGUGAUGAUAUAGUCCGAACUCGGCCGUAAUGCCGAGAAACGAGCAGAAAUGUCUCGUUCCGCAAUUUAAAAUUGAAAAUUUAGAAUUUAAAAUUUCAAUUUUGUUGCGAGCAACAAAAUUGUAGAUACCCUAGUAGUCCACGCCCUAAACGAUGCAGACUCGUCAUUGGAAGUAUCGACCCUUUCAGUGGCCAAGCUUACGCGUUAAGUCUGCCGCCUGGGAAGUACGGCCGCAAGGCUAAAACUCAAAGGAAUAGACGNNNNNNNNNCCGCAAGGCUAAAACUCAAAGGAAUAGACGGGAGUUCGCACAAGCGGUGGUUCAUGCGGUUCAAUUCGAUGACAACCGAGGAACCUCACCAGGGUUUGAAAUGCUGGAAAAAGUCGGGGGAAACCCCGAUGUACCACAAGGAUGCCAGCACAGGUGCUGCACGGUCCUCGUCAGUUCGUGAUGUGAACUGUUCCCUUAAGUGGGGUAACGAACGCAACCCCCAUCCCAUGUUACAAGUGUCAUGGGAAACUGCCUCCGUUUAGGGGGAGGAAGGUGGGGAUGACGCGAGAUCAGCGUGGCCCUCUGAUACCCUGGGCUACACGCAUGAAACAAUGGAGCCGACAGAGCGUCGCGAAGCCGCAAGGCGGAGCCAAUCGCAUCAAACGGCCCCUCAGUUCAGAUUGGAGUCUGCAACUCGACUCCAUGAAGAAGGAAUCGCUAGUAAACGCGGAUCAGCUAUGCCGCGUUGAAUACGUUCUCGAACUUUGUACUCACCGCCCGUCACGUCAAGAGAGCCGGUAGUAGCCGAAACCCGGGGUCAGCCCGGACUAAGCUAAGAUCGGUGAUAGGGACGAAGUCGUAACAAGGCAUCGGUA